AUUGAACGCUGGCGGCAUGCUUUACACAUGCAAGUCGAGCGGCAGCGCGGGGGCAACCCUGGCGGCGAGCGGCGAACGGGUGAGGAACACAUCGGAACGUGCCCCGGAGUGGGGGAUAACGCCGCGAAAGCGGCGCUAAUACCGCAUAUGCUCUGAGGAGGAAAGCGGGGGACCUGUGAGGGCCUCGCGCUCUGGGAGCGGCCGAUGUCCGAUUAGCUAGUUGGUGGGGUAAAGGCCUACCAAGGCGACGAUCGGUAGCCGGUCUGAGAGGAUGAUCAGCCACACUGGGACUGAGACACGGCCCAGACUCCUACGGGAGGCAGCAGUGGGGAAUUUUGGGCAAUGGGGGCAACCCUGAUCCAGCCAUGCCGCGUGCGGGAAGAAGGCCUUCGGGUUGUAAACCGCUUUUAGCCGGGAAGAAAAGGCCACGGACAAUACCCGUGGUUCUUGACGGUACCGGCGGAAUAAGCACCGGCUAACUACGUGCCAGCAGCCGCAGUAACAC
rnacentral:rRNA from 1 species